UAAACGGUAGGGUAUUGGCCUACCGUGGCAAUGACGGGUAACGGGGAAUUAGGGUUCGAUUCCGGAGAGGGAGCCUGAGAAACGGCUACCACAUCUAAGGAAGGCAGCAGGCGCGCAAAUUACCCAAUCCUAAUACAGGGAGGUAGUGACAAGAAAUAACAAUACAGGACUUUUUGGUUUUGUAAUGGAAUGAGUUUAAAACGU
rnacentral:rRNA from 1 species